CUAUAUUUAAAAUAGUGAAACACGUUAUUAAAUUAGGAAACUAAUUUAAUACUUACCAUAGGUGUGUAGGAAGAAUCAUGGCAGAUCAGGAAAUGGAUGUAUCAAAACAGAGAAGUCGUCGGUGGGGUGGGGGUCGACGACACGGUGGGCGAACUCCAGGGCUCAGCGGUGACUCGGCGGCGGACGAACCGCAAGCUCAGCGGCGACUAUUUCGCCGGAGUCUAGAAGAAGGAACGGCAACGGGUUAUAGGAAAAAGAAAUCUUAGGGCUCUUGUAUUAAUUGCUUCGAAUGGAGAAUUCUCAUGGGUUUAAGAAGUGGAAACAAAAUCGAACUAAUUAAGGAAUGGAAGAGGGAGUCAGAGAUGAGGCGGAGCAACGCCGCCCUUAGGACGGCGGCGACGCCUGAAUUUAGAGGGAGAGAGAGGCGGGCAGUUUAAGGGGGGAAUUAGGGCUUGAUUUGAGUGUGCAAUCGACUUUAGAGAGAGAAAAUGAUUGAGAGAAGAGAGAGACAGUGAAGGGGGAGACGACGCCGACCGGAUUCAGGGACGGCGACGAUGGGGUGAGGAAGAGGGAGGCGUGACUUUUGUUUUAAAAGUGAGAAUGAGAAUAUAUAGAUUGGAUUCUCAAAUGCCACGUUGGAGAUUGAGAUUGAAAAGAAAGAAUUUGAGGCCUGCCACGUAGGCUAAGGCCUAAUCGUAUAGAAUAGUAUUAUUAUUAUUAUUAUUAUUAUUAUUAUUAUUAUUAUUAUUAUUAUUAUUAUUAUUAUUAUUAUUAUUAUUAUUAUUAUUAUUAUUGUAGUAAUGGACGAACAAAACAAUAAAGUUUGCAGAAAUGAAAAUAUAUUUUUCUUCCCUAUAUAAUAAAUGUAUGGAUUUAUUUUAUAAAAAUAAAUAAAAUUUAAUAUUUAGAUAGACAUAAAUAAGAUUUGUUUUAAAGUAAUCAGUUUAUAAAAUUUGUGCCUUAUUAUGCAAACAUAUAAAUCAAUGACCGGACCCGUUUAUAAUUUACAUAUACGUGCAUGUCUCAAUUAAAACUUAAUUUAAAAUUAAUUUUAUUGAAAAUUAAGAAUAUAAAUAUUAUAUAUAUACAUACAAUAUAUAUACAAUAUAAUAUAUUGCAACAUAUACAUAUAAUAUGUACGCUAUUGAGAAAUAUAAAAUUAAUAACAAAUAUACAUCUAAUCACUAACAUUCAAUUAAAAUAAUUUAUCGUAUAUAGAUUAUAAUUUUUUUCUUAUCGGACAUGUAAAUCUAGUUUUUAUCUAGAAAAAAUAAAUAAUAAAAUUUAUUAAUUUAGAUUAUAUGUAAUGUUAAUAUUAUUAUAUAGAUAUUAUAUUAUAUGAUUAAUGAAUCUUUAUAUAGAAUGUAAUAGUUAAUUAAUUAAUAAAUGAUGAAGAUUAGUAUAUGGUAAAUUUUGAAAUGGUGAAAUUUUAGAUAUGCCACAUAGGUUAAGGCUUAAUCCUAUUAUAUAAUAGAUUAACUACACACUUAAAACACUAAUCUACAACUCUUUAAUUUCCGUGCCGAAUCCAAACGUGUCAAGAUUCGUGGGACGGAGGGAGUAAUUUAUAGUAUUAAAAUAUUGUGUAUAUUUAAAGACGAUGAUAUUCCGUUGAGGAUGCAAAAAUUUCAAGGAUGAUCAUAUCCCAUUCGAGAGGCGAAAAUUCACACUCAAAUCAAUAUGUAAGAUCAAAUUUUCAGAUACUAGGAAUAAAGAUAUAUAGGAUCAAAUUCCUAACCCUUUUGUCCUAUUCACNUAUUUCAUCAUCGUAGGUAUUUAUAGGCAUUACAGUCGGGGUAAAGUAGUAAAUUCGUUUGGUAAUCUAUUUUGCAUGCUCGCCAUUAAACUAAUUAAGGCUAUUAUUAGAUUAUAACUUGUCAGGUCGUUGUCCCCUAAUUACAGAGCUGGAUUCUGUCCUCAUCAUCCCGCUCUGUCUAAUAGCUCUGGAUUUCCUUCCUUGGGGCAGACUUUUACUCUUUGGCUCCGCUCUGCUAAAUAGCUCCGCCUUCUGGCGAAUUGUCUCUGACGUGUGGCUCCGCGCUCUGGCUCCAAUAGCUUAGCUUUGACUCUGGAUCUGGCGAUUUGGCUCUGGCUCUGACUCUAACGACUUAGCUCUGACUCUGGAUCUGGCGACUUGGCUCUGGCUCUGACUUUAAUGACUUAGCUCUGGCUCUGGCACUGGCUAUGGCUUAGCUCUGCUCUGGCAGCUCUGCUCUGGAAGCUUUGCUCUGGCAUCUCUGCUCUGGUUAGCUCUGGCUCUGGCAUCUCUGCUCUGGCAUCUCUGCUCUGGCAACUUGACUCUGGCCCUCUGCUCUGGAAGCUCUGCUCUGGUUAGCUCUGGCUCUGGAAGCUCUGCUCUGGCAACUCUACUCUGGCAGCUCUGUUCUGGAAGCUUUGCUCUGCCAACUCUGCUCUGGACUUUUUCCUCUGCCUAUUUCUCACAGCUUCUUUGCUCCCUGCUGCUCAUCUUUGGUAUUCCAAGCAAAGCCACGUGUCCUGAUUUUAGGAACUUGCAUCAAUCACAACACGCUUGAUAGCAGAUGCCAAAAUUCUUUCCAAAAUUUGUUCUUUCUAAAAUAAUAAUCAUUCUAUAUUUAAAAUAGUGAAACGCUUUAUUAAAUUAGGAAACUAAUUUAAUACUUACCAUAGGUGUGUAGGAAGAAUCACGGCUAAUCAGGAAAUGGAGGUAUCAAAACAGAGAAGUCGUCGGUGGGGUGGGGGUCGACGGCACGGUGGACGAACUCCAGGGCUCAGCGGUGACUCGACGGCGGAUGAACCGCAAGCUCAGCGGCGACUAUUUCGCCGGAGUCUAGAAGAAGGAACGACAACGGGUUAUAGGAAAAAGAAAUCUUAGGGCUCUUGUAUUAAUUGCUUCAAAUGGAGAAUUCUCAUGGGUUUAAGAAGUGGAAACAAAAUCGAACUAAUUAAGGAAUGGAAGAGGGAGUCAGAGAUGAGGCGGAGCAACGCCGCCCUUAGGACGGCGGCGACGCCUGAAUUUAGAGGGAGAGAGAGGCGGGCAGUUUAAGGGGGGAAUUAGGGCUUGAUUUGAGUGUGCAAUCGACUUUAGAGAGAGAAAAGGAUUGAGAGAAGAGAGAGACAGUGAAGGGGGAGACGACGCCGACCGGAUUCAGGGACGGCGGCGAUGGGGUGAGGAAGAGGGAGGUGUGACUUUUGUUUUAAAAGUGAGAAUGAGAAUAUAUAGAUUGGAUUCUCAAAUGCCACGUUGGAGAUUGAGAUUGAAAAGAAAUAAUUUGAGGCCUGCCACGUAGGCUAAGG
rnacentral:lncRNA from 1 species